UUUAAGAAAAAUAUUUACUUCAUGAGCAGAUUUUUUUUCUUUCAGUAAAUUGUGUGAGUUUUAUUAAUAUUAUGAGUAAAAGAGCAGAAGGAUGAGCAAUAAAAAUGCUUCUUACAGCCUCGUGUUUACCAGAGGUGCCAAUAUUUGUGGCGGGCACUGUAAGACCAACAGUUCCUCAGGUGAAUUAGCUGUUCUGGCAGCUCGUGGAGCCCAACACCUUACAGGACAUUUUAUUUUGGUUUUCCCCUUAAUCUGUCAGCCAUCUGGAGUGUUUGGGGUGUGCAACUCCUUCUUUGAAAGAUAACAUCCAUGUCUAGAUACUCAGUUUACGAUUUAACGGCAAAACAAUAAAGCCAAACAAGUAAUUACUUAGUGCUUUGACUCACUGCUGCACUACUGAUCUGACACAUUUCAGGUCAGAGCAGAUCCGACAUCAUUACAUUUAGCCAUUGCCUUUUUUCCUGAAUGUGCCUUGUUAGUGUUUGUAAAACAUGCUUUUCACCUUAAAAAAAUAUCAUGUAAAAUAUGACAUUGUGACAUAUUAGUAGGAACCUCUUUUGUCUCUGUAGCUUCCUCUUUCAGUUGUGUGUUUGUGCUGUGCACAUGCCAGUCCACUAGAGGGCAACCUACGCUUAGAAAGACUCAGGCUGAAGUUAAUCUGAAAUCAGAAGUGGCCGUGUUGAUGCACCUGGUCAUACCAAGCAUGACUCAUCAAACUGUUCCACUUUAACCUGUAAGAAAACCCAGUUGUUAAACGGAAGCCAGAGGCUAAACUGCAGCCUAAGCUGAUAAACAGUAAGGCCAUUUGUUGUUUCAUACAUUGCUGUUGGUUGGCACUGUAAUUAUUCACUCUGUGCAGUUUUGUAUUAAAAAAGCAGUCAGGUGGAUCAGAUUGUGAGGGGAGGUACUGUUUCUUUAAAUUAUUCACAAUUACUAACUAGCUAUGUAUGAAUGCAUUAGACACAAUUACCUUAUAGUUUGUUUCUAACAGUGUCCAGACACACUUUAUAUUUAGUAAGUUUAACUUUAAUCGCGCCCAUUGGUGAUGAGAUGAGUUGGAGUGCAGUUUGUAAUCCAGAGCUAAUCAGCCAACAUCAGUCAGAAGUAACGUCUAUAAACUUUUGGGCGUAUAGUGAUAUUGACAGGUAGUGGACAGUGAUAAACAUUUACUGAGUCAUCAUAAAUGUUUAAAGUGUUUGAGUCACGUGAUUUUUGCAGUGCCAACUGCUUAUUUGUAGGGUAUAAGAUUAAAGGUUAAAUAGAUUAAAAACAGACUAAUCUAUUAAUAGAUUAGAUAGAUUAAACAAACACAACACGAACAGAAUAUAUUCAACAUAUAGACAAAUAGUUUGCGUGACAAUCUGGAAAAGGCAAGUUAUUUCAAACUUACCAACAACACCGAGAGUAAGGCACAAUGAACUCUGUCCAGCUUUGUUGGAAGCAAUGCAUGUGUAUGUUCCUGCAUCGUCUUUUGUGAGAGGAUCAAUAACCAGAGAGUGGAUCCCAUUUUCUCUCACCAGCAUCCGAUGAGUCAAAUCGGGACAAAUUGGUUUUCCAUUCAGAAGCCAAAUAAUUUCGGGAUGGGGCAGUCCACUUACCUGAAUUACAGGGAGAUUUUUGGGGCCUGCAAGAAGUGAGGACAAAAAAACCUCUCUUCACAAGGCUCGCCCUCCUCCACCUGCUUGACACGGGUUUUCACCCUGUGAUUGUGGACGCCAGUGUGAAAACAGAGAGCCCGAGCGAACUGAGGCUGCUCUGUUCUCGCCUUUCCCUAAAGGAGGUGGUGCCCAGUGUGUUGAGGGCCUGCCGGUAACUAGCACAAGG